AAAAACAUAACCUUUAGCCAAACAAGUAUUAAAGGCAACGCCUGCCCAGUGAAUAAUUAAACGGCCGCGGUAUCCUAACCGUGCAAAGGUAGCAUAAUCAUUUGUCUAUUAAUUGUAGACCUGUAUGAAAGGCAAAAUGAGAGCCCAACUGUCUCUUAUAACAAAUCAAUUAAACUGAUCUUCUAGUCCAAAAGCUAGAAUAUCAACAUAAGACCAGAAGACCCUGUGAAGCUUUAACUAACCUAUUAAACCAAAUAAUAACUACUUUCGGUUGGGGCGACCUUGGAAUAAAAAAGAACUUCCAAUAUAUGACUCCUCAUAAAACAGGCAAACAAGCCACACUAGACCCAGUAUUACUGAUAAUUGAAAUAAGUUACUCCAGGGAUAACAGCGCUAUCUUCUUUUAGAGCCCAUAUCAAAAAGAAGGUUUACGACCUCGAUGUUGGAUCAGGACAUCCCAGUAAUGCAACCG
rnacentral:rRNA from 1 species